UGGCGGCGUGCUUAACACAUGCAAGUCGAACGAGAGGAGAAGGAAGCUUUGCUUCUUUCAAAUCUAGUGGCAAACGGGUGAGUAACACGUAAACAACCUGCCUUCAGGAUGGGGACAACAGACGGAAACGACUGCUAAUACCGCAUAACGUACCGGAAGGGCAUCCUUCCGGUACCAAAGGAGCAAUCCGCUGUAAGAUGGGCUCGCGUCCGAUUAGCCAGUUGGCGGGGUAACGGCCCACCAAAGCGACGAUCGGUAGCCGGACUGAGAGGUUGAUCGGCCACAUUGGGACUGAGACACGGCCCCAGACUCCUACGGGAGGCAGCAGUGGGGAAUCUUCCGCAAUGGGCGAAAGCCUGACGGAGCAACGCCGCGUGAGUGAAGAAGGUCUUCGGAUCGUAAAGCUCUGUUGUCGGGGGACGAAUGUUGAGACUUAGAACAUAAGUUUCAAAUGACGGUACCUGACGAGGAAGCCACGGCUAACUACGUG
rnacentral:rRNA from 1 species